rnacentral:rRNA from 1 species
GAUGAACGCUGGCGGUAUGCUUAACACAUGCAAGUCGAACGGAAGUCUUCGGACUUUAGUGGCGGACGGGUGAGUAACGCGUGAGAAUCUGCCUAUAGGUUGGGGACAACAGUUGGAAACGACUGCUAAUACCCAAUGUGCCGAGAGGUAAAAGCUUUAGUGCCUGUAGAUGAGCUCGCGUCCGAUUAGCUAGUUGGUAAGGUAAGAGCUUACCAAGGCGACGAUCGGUAGCUGGUCUGAGAGGAUGAUCAGCCACACUGGGACUGAGACACGGCCCAGACUCCUACGGGAGGCAGCAGUGGGGAAUUUUCCGCAAUGGGCGAAAGCCUGACGGAGCAAUACCGCGUGCGGGACGAAGGCUUUUGGGUCGUAAACCGCUUUUGUUAGGGAAGAAUAACUGACGGUACCUAACGAAUCAGCAUCGGCUAACUCCGUGCCAGCAGCCGCGGUAAUACGGAGGAUGCAAGCGUUAUCCGGAUUUAUUGGGCGUAAAGCGUCCGCAGGUGGUUCAUCAAGUCUGCUGUCAAAGCGUGGGGCUUAACCCCAUAAAGGCAGUGGAAACUGAUGAACUAGAGUACGGUAGGGGUAGCGGGAAUUCCCAGUGUAGCGGUGAAAUGCGUAGAUAUUGGGAAGAACACCAGCGGCGAAGGCGCGCUACUGGGCCGAAACUGACACUCAUGGACGAAAGCUAGGGGAGCGAAAGGGAUUAGAUACCCCUGUAGUCCUAGCUGUAAACGAUGACAACUAGGUGUUGCGCG